rnacentral:lncRNA from 1 species
UCAUUUCAUAAAGAAUUACAAAAUACAACCUACUCGAAAUAUCUCAAAAACAAUGUACAAGACUUCUAGAACAAAAUUGGGACAUUCAAUCGAGAAUAAUCAGUAUAUUUAAAAUGGAGAAUCGAUUACAUAAAAAAGCAUAGCAAUCUAGCAUACUAGUAUACACCAAACAGCCGAGGUGGCCCUUCUUUUGUAGCUUAGCAUUUGGCCCUCAAGCUUUUUGUUCUAUUGCAAAAGCCUGUUAAUAAUAUCCUUGUCCCUAGCAUUUGAAGGGGGAUCAUGCCAAUGGAAGUACCCACAGCUUCCAUUUACCUGAUAAACAAUUUGAAGUUAAACAUAAAGGUUGGAUAUUGUGAUAGAAAAUGACGAAAAUGAUUGCUGUACCUCAUACAUUUUGCAUCCAAAGAAACGCCGGUCAAGAUUUGCAGUGGUCCAAGAGGUCCUCAGUGGUGAUCUGGUUCUACAAUGGCAAAAAUCAAUACUCGGGAGGAGGUGUAACUGGAAGAGCUCGGUUGGGAACCCUCCAUUGCCUCUUUCUCCACCGGUAACCUUUCUUUUCUUCCACGAAUUUCUUCUUCUUCACCCGCGGCGUACAUGGCGACUCCUCUAUCCAUGGCUGGCUUGAUCGAAGAUCUCUCUCAGCAAGAACUGUAGAUUCGCUCGUUUUCCUCCCCUCUAUAUUUAGGGCAUCCAAAACAAUG